ensembl:misc_RNA Y_RNA Y RNA
GGCUGGUCCGAGGGCAGGGGUGUUUACAACGAAUUGAUCACAACCAGUGUCAGAUUCCUUUGUUCCUUCUCCACUCCCACUGCUUCACUUAAGUAGCCCUAA